AUUGAACGCUGGCGGCAGGCCUAACACAUGCAAGUCGAGCGCGCGGCGGACGGGUGAGUAAUGUAUGGGGCUCUGCCCGAUAGAGGGGGAUAACUACUGGAAACGGUGUCUAAUACCGCAUACUAUCGGAUGAACCCAGAUGGGAUUAGCUAGUAGGUGGGGUAAAGGCUCCCCUAGGCGACGAUCUCUAGCUGGUCUGAGAGGAUGACCACCCACACUGGGACUGAGACACGGCCCAGACUCCUACGGUAGGCAGCAGUGGGGAAUAUUGCACAAUGGGCGCAAGCCUGAUGCAUCCAUGCCGCGUGUGUGAAGAAGGCCUUAGGGUUGUAAAGUACUUUCAGCGAGGAGGCGUUACCCGCAGAAGAAGCACCGGCUAACUCCGUGCCAGCAGCCGCGGUAAUUC
rnacentral:rRNA from 1 species